rnacentral:rRNA from 1 species
UACAUGUGGGGCAAGCGUUGUUCGGAAUUAUUGGGCGUAAAGGGUGCGUAGGCGGUCUGAUAAGUCAUCUGUGAAAUCUAUGGGCUCAACCCAUAGUCUGCAGGCGAAACUGUCGGGCUUGAGUAUGGGAGAGGUGAGUGGAAUUUCCGGUGUAGCGGUGAAAUGCGUAGAUAUCGGAAGGAACACCUGUGGCGAAAGCGGCUCACUGGACCAUUACUGACGCUGAUGCACGAAAGCUAGGGGGGCAAACAGG